rnacentral:rRNA from 1 species
UACGUAGGGGGCAAGCGUUGUCCGGAUUUAUUGGGCGUAAAGAGCGUGUAGGCGGCUUUACAGGUCCGUUGUGAAAACUCGAGGCUCAACCUCGAGCUGUCGAUGGAAACCAUCUGGCUAGAGUCCGGAAGAGGCGAGUGGAAUUCCCGGUGUAGCGGUGAAAUGCGCAGAUAUCGGGAGGAACACCAAUGGCGAAGGCAGCUCGCUGGGACGUUACUGACGCUGAGACGCGAAAGCGUGGGGAGCAAACAGG